GUAGGCUGAAACUCGCCUACAUGAAGCUGGAGUUGCUAGUAAUCGCGAAUCAGCAUGUCGCGGUGAAUACGUUCCCGGGCCUUGUACACACCGCCCGUCACACCAUGAGAGUUGGCAAUACCCAACGUACGUGAUCUAACCCGCAAGGGAGGAAGCGUCCUAAGGUAGGGUCAGCGAUUGGGGUGAAGUCGUAACAAGGUAUC
rnacentral:rRNA from 1 species